rnacentral:rRNA from 1 species
CUCUGACCUCAAAUCAGGUAGGACUACCCGCUGAACUU